rnacentral:rRNA from 1 species
AAAUUGAAGAGUUUGAUCAUGGCUCAGAUUGAACGCUGGCGGCAGGCCUAACACAUGCAAGUCGAACGGUAACAGGAAGCAGCUUGCUGCUUCGCUGACGAGUGGCGGACGGGUGAGUAAUGUCUGGGAAACUGCCCGAUGGAGGGGGAUAACUACUGGAAACGGUAGCUAAUACCGCAUAAUGUCGCAAGACCAAAGAGGGGGACCUUCGGGCCUCUUGCCAUCGGAUGUGCCCAGAUGGGAUUAGCU